GGAGCAAACAGGAUUAGAUACCCUGGUAGUCCACGCCGUAAACGUUGGGCGCUAGGUGUGGGUCCCUUCCACGGGGUCUGUGCCGCAGCUAACGCAUUAAGCGCCCCGCCUGGGGAGUACGGCCGCAAGGCUAAAACUCAAAGGAAUUGACGGGGGCCCGCACAAGCGGCGGAGCAUGUUGCUUAAUUCGACGCAACGCGAAGAACCUUACCAAGGUUUGACAUGGCCGGAAAAGCCGCAGAGAUGUGGUGUCCUUCGGGGUCGGUCACAGGUGGUGCAUGGCUGUCGUCAGCUCGCGUCGCGAGAUGUUGGGUUAAGUCCCGCAACGAGCGCAACCCUCGUCCUAUGUUGCCAGCGGGUAAUGCCGGGGACUCAUGGGAGACUGCCGGGGUCAACUCGGAGGAAGGUGGGGAUGACGUCAAGUCAUCAUGCCCCUUAUGUCUUGGGCUGCAAACAUGCUACAAUGGCCGGUACAAAGGGCUGCGAACUCGCGAGGGUAAGCGAAUCCCAUAAAGCCGGUCUCAGUUCGGAUCGGGGUCUGCAACUCGGCCCCGUGAAGCUGGAGUCGCUAGUAAUCGCAGAUCAG
rnacentral:rRNA from 1 species